rnacentral:rRNA from 1 species
CCUACGGGAGGCAGCAGUGGGGAAUAUUGGACAAUGGGGGGAACCCUGAUCCAGCGACGCCGCGUGAGUGAAGAAGUAUUUCGGUAUGUAAAGCUCUAUCAGCAGGGAAGAAAAUGACGGUACCUGACUAAGAAGCCCCGGCUAACUACGUGCCAGCAGCCGCGGUAAUACGUAGGGGGCAAGCGUUAUCCGGAUUUACUGGGUGUAAAGGGAGCGUAGACGGUGCAGCAAGUAUGAUGUGAAAGGUCGGGGCCCAACCCCGGGACUGCAUUGGAAACUGUUUUUCUUGAGUGCUGGAGAGGCAAUCGGAAUUCCGUGUGUAGCGGUGAAAUGCGUAGAUAUACGGAGGAACACCAGUGGCGAAGGCGGAUUGCUGGACAGUAACUGACGCUGAGGCGCGAAAGCGUGGGGAGCAAACAGGAUUAGAUACCCCUGUAGUC